ensembl:piRNA 21ur-5135 ncRNA
UUAGUUUCCAAACGUUUAAAA